CGAUUUACAGCCCAUCUAUACAAAAAGUUUUGUAAAUAGACUUCAUUUAGUAUUUCAUGCAUGUGUUAAAAUAUUCGAUGUGACGAUUUUUUUUGCGUUUACUGGUAAAAAUCUAAACAGGGCCUAUGUAAGUGAUGAGGCCAUCUUUAAUGCAACUCACGGGUGCCAAAAGAGCUAGUAUCGUCCAUUCCAAUCCAUGGGUGCAAUACAAGGUACAACAGUCAAACCACUGAUGACCAAGAUCGUGGAUUUCAGUGUAUUAUGAUUGGAUAUAGUUAAUUGGUAUAUAUAUGGUUGGAGCUGUAAUAAGUUUCCAACAGUCCAUGAUCAUUUUCAAGCCUUUGCCCACCCUAUAUAUAUAGUUCAGUUAAUUAUUACGUUGUUGGCCAAAUGAUACAUUUUCAAGGAGCAAGAAAUCUGGCAGGUAAUAUAUUGUUUCCAGGGCAGGGUUUCACAGGAACAAAUCGUGUGAAAAAUGGCUAAGGACCGAUGAUGGUCACCCUUGGAUGAUGAGUGAUUGAUAAUAUUGUGUAGAUUUGAUGUAUCUCUUGGCUCGUGAUGUGCAAGUGUAGGAUGCGGCAUGGCGGUCGACGGCGCGAGGUGAAGGUCAGGCGAAAGAUUCAUGGUGAAGGAUGGACGCGAGUAGGUUUGGAGAAGCGAAAGGUUAAUGCCGAGGGACCAAGAUAGUGAAGGGUGAAUGCGAGUAGGCCUGGACCGAGGGACUCGAGAAGGUCGUGCGGAGCCAUGGGUGGUCCACACGGUACACGGAAGAGCAAGAGUACAUGGUGAUGAAGACGGUGUCGGCCAAGUCGGCAAGGACGAUGGCGAGUCAAGUAGGUGGCCCGUGUGGCGGGCGCGCACGAACGACUCUAAGGCGUCAAGGCUCGGGAGGUCGGACACGCGUCGACAUCGGCGGUUUGACCAGUUUGACCUCAAAACCGGGGAGUCAGUCACGUCGUGCAGCGGCGUGCGAGAGGUUUGACCGGUUUGGGCCUCAAAACCGGGGGGCGGAUUUGGUGCGGCCAAGGUCCGCACGGAGGGCAAGUGGCGCCAUAGCGAAGCUUGCGUCGAGGUGAAGCGAAGUCGUGAAGGUGAUGUGUCCAUCCAGUGCUCCUAUAAAAAGUUGGACGAUUUUGCCCCUGCGUGGGCAGUUAUUGUAGUAAAUAGCGUAUGAGUAUUUUUAGUCUUUCGGCAGGACUAUAUAUAGAUAGUCAUGGUUAGAGGAGAGAUUAACUCUUGAAGCCUAUUUCAUUUGCUUCUCUAAUUUUUGUAGAUUAGAGUUUGUUGGAGAUUUUGUUGGGAAAGGAGACCCAAACCUUCUUGUACCCUCCUGUCGUCAAGAUCUGAGUGAUUUUUGAGUUCA